UCCAAUUACUAAAUCUACCAUAUGUAUGAUCUCAUUUAUUCAGUUGGUUUUAGUAACUAACACAAUAAGACAAUUUAGAAUUUUAUAUUUACCUCAGUAACAACUUCAACUGUAGCUAGCGGAAUCGGAUCCCCCCUUCGUGGUCAUGGCAUGGCUCCACUCCGACAUAUAAUAUAAGUUGUGCUCUUUAUAGAUAUAAAGUGAG
rnacentral:lncRNA from 1 species